UAUUAAAGUAUUAAUAGCAUCUAGAUAAUAAUUUGUAUUUUGUACUUCAGUUAAUAUCAUAUUUUUCCGUUAUCAAUUUAAUUAAAAAUGAACAAAAUAAUUGAAAAGCCUAUCGAUGCUAUUAUUGAUAAAUUACGACUUUGGAGCGCCGGAAGCUGGAUCCCUUACGAAUCUAAUAUCUUAAAUAUAAUGUCUCUCCGAAUUAUAUUAGACCAACUUCUAAUAACGUCCGAGAGUAAAGUUUUAGAGAGUAUAAACUUGAAUGAAAAAAUUAAGGGUGUCUAUAAGCAAGAUGUAUUGGUAUUGCUUGUUUCCGGUAAAAGCCAAGAGAUGAGAAAAAUAAAGUUCCGGAUAAAAACAAACGUUGAAGAAGUAUUAAACAAACUUGGCUUACAUUUCCCGGUUGCCAGGUAUGGCCAGAAGUCAUCAGCUAAUGUAUGCACUAUGAAAUACCGUAAUAUUGAUGAAAUAUUCAAAACAAUCAUAGAACAAUCUAAGAUAGAAAAUAUCAACAUUCCGUUGCCGUCUGGAUACGAAAAUUUCGUCAAAACGUGCCUUCUUGACCCAAAUUUUCCAUUACUAGUGUUGGAGACGCAAAAAAUACUUAGCCCCGAAAUUGUUAAAGAAUAACAUAUUUUGUAUUCGUCUUUUAAUAGUAUGCCUACGUUUGUUACAUGUAUAUUUAAAGAGAUUUUCGUUAGCUGUACUUUUAAGUCAGUGAAAA